AAAAUGACAAAAAAGUGAGGCUGUAGCCUUAACUUUACGUGAUAAAAGGGGCACAACAUUUUCGUCCAUUUUUAGCUACUUUUUUCAUUUUUGAAAAAGGGGGAAAAAAUGGUAAUAAAGUAAGGCUAUAGCCAUAACUCUUCGUCCAUAUUUAGCCACUUAUUCCAUUUUUGAAAAAGGGGCAAAAAUGACAAAAAAGUAAGGCUAAAUAGCCUUAACUUUUCGUCCAUUUUUAGCCACUUAUUUCAUUUUUGAAAAAGGGGCAAAAAUGACAAAGAAGUAAGGCUAUAGCCCUAACUUUUCGUCCAUUUUUAGGCUAUUUAGCCACUUUUUUCAUUGUUGAAUAAAGGGGCACAAAGAUAAGGCUAUAUAUAGCCUUAACUUUCGUCCAUUUUUAGCCACUUAUUUUUGAAAAAGGGGGAGAAAAAUGACAAAAAAUAAGGCUAUAGACUUAAUGUUUCGUCCAUUUUUAGCUACUUUUUCAUUCUUGAAAAAGGGGCAAAAAUAGCAAAAAAGUAAGGCCAUAGAUAGCGUAAAAGUAAGGCUAUAGCUUUAAGAGAGAAAGAAUUAAGUAGAAUAGAAAAGGAGUUACAGCAAGUGAAGGCGAGAUGGUCUAGUGGUAACGACUGAAGUGUUGCAGACUUACUUAUUUGACUUACUAAGUUGACUUGCUUACUAACUUGACUCCACUUACUAACUUGACUUGCUGACUUACUUCACUCUACUUACUUACUAACUUGACUUACUUUACUCUACUAAAGAGAAC